AUGUCGUCCUCCUCCAGCACCGGCCAGGGUUCCCUUGGGCAGGUUGCAGAAAAGCUCACCCGCACCAACUACGUCUUGUGGCGUGCGCAGGUGACACCGCAGCUGAGAGGGGCUGGCCUCUUCGGUUAUGCCGACGGCUCCAUGCCGGAACCCGUCAACAUCCUCAUCACGAAGGACAAAGACGGGAAAGAAGAACAAACACCGAACCCUCUCCAUCCGAUCUGGUUCAGAGAAGGGCAGCAGGUACUUGGAUACUUGCUCAAUACUCUUACCAAAGAGGUCCUCGUGCACGUCACCUCCAUCGCC
rnacentral:rRNA from 1 species